GACAGAGGGUGCAAACGUUGUUCGGAAUUACUGGGCGUAAAGCGCGUGUAGGCAGCUUGGCAAGUCGGGUGUGAAAGCCCUGGGCUUAACCUAGGAAGUGCACUCGAAACUGCUGGGCUUGAGUUCUGGAGAGGAAGGCGGAAUUCUCGGUGUAGAGGUGAAAUUCGUAGAUAUCGAGAGGAACAUCGGUGGCGAAGGCGGCCUUCUGGACAGCAACUGACGCUGAGACGCGAAAGCGUGGGGAGCAAACAGG
rnacentral:rRNA from 1 species